GGCAUCUGAUGAUCUCACACCCCAGUCCGGCUUGGCUUCUGGGACUGUCAGGAUUUUAUCAGGUUCAGAGCUCUCUGAUGGCCUCAUGCUGGCUCCAGGCCUCUCCCGGCUUCUUUCACACCGGCGCCAGAUGUUUGGAAGGCGCUCAGCGCUCCCCUGGCCACCAGUAAAUGGUGGUGGCUGCCAUGGCCCUCCCAUUCUUAAAUUCGAAGAAAGCCCCGAAAAAUGAGGAGUACUGUAGGAUCGACUCGUGAUCUCUUGACCUUGGACUCUCAACCGAAGCGUGAACCUGCCUCCUGCCUUCGUCAAGUGUCUAUUAAACACCUACUCUGUGUCCGACUUGGAGCCCCACCUAAGACCUGGUACGGCCCAGCCCAGCCUGGAGGAGGAGUCCACCCUGACCAUGCCCUCUGGAGGGGCGCGGCCUUCGACAAGGCCCGGCUGCCUUUCAACUUGGCCAGAGGGCUUGAGACACUUCUUAGCCGAUUCCCACCACGUGUUUUUGAACUCGUCCUUCCUCCAAAGCACAAAGCUACGAGAUAUACCGUAGCAUGCAUAGCUCUACCCCUCCAAACGGGUCCACGGCGGUGUGUGAAAGCCCAGUACGGAGGCCAGACCAUCUGUUAGAUGACUCUUUGGCGAAAUGACCAGCCCCCAUGCACCUGCCUGCUGGCAUCCCACGAAACUGCACAACAGCGCAGAUCACAGACCUUCAGGGCUGGUCCCAAAUCCCAGAACCCACAGGCGCUAAGCCCACGGUGCCGAGGGCCUCUGGAAUCACCGCCACUUUGCAGGUCGGGAGACCCCCACACAGUGUCGGCCACUCACCCGCAGCCGCCCAGCUGGACAGCCGUGGAGCCUGGUCGUGCCCUGCUCUGAAGCCUGUGUUGUUUUCCCCUCCCUGCCCCGUCCUUUCGGUGCUGACCGUUCCCAAGUGAGCUCAACUUUCAAGAUUUGAAGCGUAUGAACUGACCCCCAACUCUUUAGGUGGAAAAAAUGAUCACUCAGCUGGCCUCUGGGCUUCUUUCUCUCUGGUGGUGGUGGGGGAAGGCCAUGAGUUCUGACCCUAGGGCCCCAGCUACAGACCUACUUUGCAGAAAUACCUUUCUCAAUCCCCAGCCAGGCUCAGAAACCACAGGUGUCCCUGGAGAGGAGGCUUCCCAGGAAACCCCAUGAGCCAUUUGCAAGAGAGUCUGUGAUCCUUAACUGCCCUAUGCUAUUCUAUGGGCUUCAGGAAACAGGGGUCCUAGCCUGCUAGCGUGUUACUUUAGUGGCUUCUCCCUUAAUCCUCUGAGCUAAAUGCCCUCAGAUUGGAACUGCACAGGACCACUGCCUCGGCCCCAGCAAGAGACGGUCUUGAUGAAUAAGAUUGGUCGACGCUUUCAUUCAUUCAACACAUCACCAUUGACAGAGCUUCAGACCCUGAGAGACAAAACAGCAAGAGGGAGGAAGACAGACCCCUUUCCCAGCCUCGCUGCUGCUAGGGGUUAGCAGAAAAGACAAGCAAACCAGGGGCACUUUAAAAGCUUGGUAUUAUGCAUACUGACAACAGGGGGGCUAAAAUGAACGAAAUCCUACCUGAAUAUCGCUUUGCUGAGUGCAUAGGUGUUCUCUUUAUCCCUUUUCA
ensembl:lncRNA